rnacentral:tRNA from 1 species
GGAGCCAUAGCUCAGUGGAAGAGUAUUUGCUUUGCAUGCAGAAAGACCCAGGUUCAAUUUGCGGCAUCUUCA